AAAGACAUUCCGAUCCUAUGAGAUACUACCAUCAACACCAUCUAUUCACAAUCUAUCUCCCAAGUACUAGCAGUCUAAAGACUAGUAACUCACGCUUCAAGUCAAAUUCCUAUGUAGAAGGGGUUAGGGACAGGAAACAGGUAAAAGGAGAUAUAUGGAGAAGGUGUUUUCUGCUGAGAACAUGCCAAGCGUGCUCUGGUUAAAUCAAGAAAAUGACUGCAAAGACUAACCAGAGCAAUUAUGUAAGAAGGCAUAAAAAGAAGUGUACAAUGCCAGAGGUAGGGGAAAAAAAAAUCAUGGCCGGGCAUGGUGGCCCAUGCCUGUAAUUCCAGCACUUCAGGAGGCCAAGUUAUUAGAGAUGUCUGCUAGUCAUGCAAGAUGUUAACAAUGAAGGAGGCUCAGUGAAAGCUGCACAGAACCUCUCUGGACAUUUAUUUGCAACUUCCUGUGAAUCUAUAAUUAUUUGGAAAUAAAAAGUUGAAACAAG